rnacentral:lncRNA from 1 species
UUGAGUCUGAGGACGAGGUGGUCCGGGAGAGAUGCCGGGAGGAGUUGAAGAAAGCUGCCAUGGAGUGGGGUGUGAUGCACCUUGUUAACCAUGGCAUCUCUGAUGACCUUAUCAACCGUGUUAAGGUUGCUGGAGAGACCUUUUUCAAUCUCCCCAUGGAGGAAAAGGAGAAGUAUGCUAAUGACCAGGCCUCCGGCAAGAUCGCUGGCUAUGGCAGCAAGCUUGCCAACAAUGCUAGUGGACAGCUUGAGUGGGAGGACUACUUCUUCCACCUCAUCUUCCCUGAAGACAAGCGCGAUAUGACCAUCUGGCCUAAGACACCAAGCGACUACGUGUAAGUUCAAUUCAUUGUUUAUGUAAUUAUACGAUGUUUGCUGAUCUGUUUUUCCUCUGGCCAAGUAGUUACUAACUGAAUUUUCUAUUAUAAAAAAAAAUCUGCAAAUUUUACUAAUUUUGAAAUUGUUUCUGGGUUCUAAGAAUUACUUGUUCAAACUUGUGAUUGCAGUCCAGCAACCUGUGAGUACUCGGUGAAACUUAGGAGCCUGGCAACCAAGAUACUAUCGGUGCUAUCGC